rnacentral:rRNA from 1 species
UACGUAGGGGGCAAGCGUUGUCCGGAUUUAUUGGGCGUAAAGAGCGUGUAGGCGGCUAGGUAGGUCCGUUGUGAAAACUCGAGGCUCAACCUCGAGACGCCGGUGGAAACCAUCUAGCUAGAGUCCGGAAGGGGAGAGUGGAAUUCCUGGUGAGUAGCGGUGAAAUGCGCAGAUAUCAGGAAGAACACCCGUGGCGAAGGCGGCUCUCUGGUACGUGACUGACGCUGAGACGCGAAAGCGUGGGGAGCGAACAGG